rnacentral:misc_RNA from 1 species
AGUUUGUGGCCCCGCUUCCGGAGAACUCAAGCUCCCGAUUGUGCCCGAAGGAACCCGAAGGGAGACCCCGCCUCAUUCCUCACGCCGAGCUCCAGACCCCGCCUCCUUUCCAGAGCCCGUCUGUUCCCCUUCGGGUCCAAAGCUUUUGGCUCCUCCUUGUUCCGAGCCCGAAGGCCCGCCCCUUCACGUACUCGGAGCUCGGAUCCCAGUGUGGACCUGGACUCGAAUCCCGUUGCCGACUCGCGCUCUCGGCUUCUGCUCCGGGGCUUCUUCCCUGCCCGCCCGGGGCCCUGACCGUGGCUUCUUCCCCGGCCUGAUCUGCGCAGCCCGGCGGGCGCCCAGAAGGAGCAGGCGGCGCGGGGGCGCGCUGGGCGGGGGAGGCGUGGCCGGAGCUGCGGCGGCAAGCGGGCUGGGACUGCUCGGCCGCCUCCUGCCCGGCGAGCAGCUCAGGUCCUGGGCUGAAGAGAUGGGGAGCAGCCGCUGUGGGCCUGGGGCUCACCCUGUUCACCUGUGGCCCCCACACUUUGCAUUCUCUGGUCACCAUCCUCGGGACCUG